ensembl:lncRNA
GGUGUCCCGCAUUGCAAGCAGAUUCAGUGGGGUCUGACUUAUGCUAAAUCUGCUCUCAAGAGAAGCACUAACAACUUGUAUUUUCCCACCGUUACCUGAAAGAUAUACCAAUUAUUGUUUUGUUUCUCUCAGGCGUUCUCUUACUGUGGCUCUGAGAGGUUUAUCCAUAGUGGGGGGAAAAUACAAAGAUUUAAUAGCCCUGAGCCUUAGUUUUUACAUCUGUAAAAUGGGGCUUCCAUACCAGCAAGGGAAGAGUUGCUGCUGCUGCUGCUGCUAACUCGCUUCAGUCGUAUCCGACUCUGUGCGACCCCAGAGACGGCAGCCCACCAGGCCCCGCCUUCCCUGGGAUUCUCCAGGCAAGAACACUGGAGUGGGUUGCCAUUUCCUCCUCCAAUACAUGAAAGUGAAAAGUGAAAGUGAAGUCGCUCAGUCGUGUCCAACUUUUAGCGAUUCCAUGGACUGCAGCCCACCAGGCUCCUCCGUUCAUGGGAUUUUCCAGGCAAGAGUACUGGAGUGGGGGAAGAGUAGGGAAGGAGAAAUGCAGUGGUCGAGGCAGACCCUGAGCUGGCCUUACCUUGGGUGUUUACCAGAAGAACUUCAGCUUUGGUCUCCUGUGGUCACUCCUGCAUCCCCAGGGCCAGGAAACAAGCCUGAUACACAGCAGUGCCUUCUAUUGCCCAAGGCUAUCUGGAAAUCUGAGGACAAGAGAGCUGAGUGAUGCAAGCCCAGAUCAACCUCCAAGGGCACAGAGGAGGACAGAGAAGACUGGAAACUGAUCUAGGGUUAUAGUGUCCAAUACAACCACCACUAGGCUCAUGCUUAUUUGAGUCCGAAUUGACAUGUACUAUAAAUGUAAACAUACUUUAAAAAUACUUCCUGGAUUUCAAAACCUUGGUAUUCAAAAAGAAGGUUACAUCACACAGCAUGUGGGAUCUUAGUUGCUUGACUAGGGAUUGAACCUGUACCCCCUGUAUC